rnacentral:lncRNA from 1 species
UAUUGUGGGAAGGUUUGUGUUAGGGUUAUAACUACAGAUGAUUGUUUAUCGCUAUUUAGUGAAGUUAUCUAACUGAUAUACUAAAAGAUAGUGUCCUAAAUGGCAGUUAUUUAGACGUGGCAACCUUAGUGGGUACUUCUACCAGCUGCUCCCCUGCUUGUACGCCUCAGUGGCACUGUGGACAUGAUAGAGGGAGGAUGUGCUCAUCAAUCAUCUGCGCAACUUUAAGUGGUGGAGGCUACUGGAGGAGUGAGAGGCUAACACGUGGAGGGUCCUCCAUGGCCUGAUAGUGGGCGCCACCUUCCUGCACUGGUUUGAUGACCAAGAUACGAGAUACGUGAGAGGCACUGCGUCACAUCCGACAACCGAAAAGUUGGAGUCCAAGAACAUAAGCUCUACCCGCAGGAAGACAACUUGAGCGGGAACCAAGAGAAGGACUUGAGCGGGAACCAAGAGGAGAACUUUAGCGGGAACCAAGAGGAGAACUUGAGCGGGAACCAAGAGGAGGACUUGAGCGGGAGCUCUGUAAGCAGAUCACGACAACAUAAGAGGUACUGGCUGCUGACUAAGGUGACCAGGGAGAGCGGCUUUCUUGUCUAUGCAUCGAGUGCAGAACACUUCUCCACACCUCCAGCAGUGGUGCUGAAAAGAGAAAUACACAGUAAUGGCAGUCUGCACCAACCUUGCGACUGAAGUGGUCAAAGGGAGUCGAACAAGAACAUUCUCGCACAUUCCUGAAGGUCUUCCAGUCGAGUGCCACAGAAGACAAGUUUGGAGAGACUGCCAGCUCGGCUUGGUAUGACAACAACUGGUUC